rnacentral:rRNA from 1 species
GGCUCAGGACGAACGCUGGCGGCGUGCUUAACACAUGCAAGUCGAACGAUGAACCACUUCGGUGGGGAUUAGUGGCGAACGGGUGAGUAACACGUGGGCAAUCUGCCCUUCACUCUGGGACAAGCCCUGGAAACGGGGUCUAAUACCGGAUACCACUCUCGCGGGCAUCUGCGAGGGUUGAAAGCUCCGGCGGUGAAGGAUGAGCCCGCGGCCUAUCAGCUUGUUGGUGAGGUAAUGGCUCACCAAGGCGACGACGGGUAGCCGGCCUGAGAGGGCGACCGGCCACACUGGGACUGAGACACGGCCCAGACUCCUACGGGAGGCAGCAGUGGGGAAUAUUGCACAAUGGGCGAAAGCCUGAUGCAGCGACGCCGCGUGAGGGAUGACGGCCUUCGGGUUGUAAACCUCUUUCAGCAGGGAAGAAGCGAAAGUGACGGUACCUGCAGAAGAAGCGCCGGCUAACUACGUGCCAGCAGCCGCGGUAAUACGUAGGGCGCAAGCGUUGUCCGGAAUUAUUGGGCGUAAAGAGCUCGUAGGCGGCUUGUCACGUCGGGUGUGAAAGCCCGGGGCUUAACCCCGGGUCUGCAUUCGAUACGGGCUAGCUAGAGUGUGGUAGGGGAGAUCGGAAUUCCUGGUGUAGCGGUGAAAUGCGCAGAUAUCAGGAGGAACACCGGUGGCGAAGGCGGAUCUCUGGGCCAUUACUGACGCUGAGAGCGAAA